GCCAGACUCCUACGGGAGGCAGCAGUGGGGGAUAUUGCACAAUGGGGGAAACCCUGAUGCAGCGACGCCGCGUGAGUGAAGAAGUAUUUCGGUAUGUAAAGCUCUAUCAGCAGGGAAGAAAAAAGACGGUACCUGACUAAGAAGCCCCGGCUAACUACGUGCCAGCAGCCGCGGUAAUACGUAGGGGGCAAGCGUUAUCCGGAUUUACUGGGUGUAAAGGGAGCGUAGACGGCAAUACAAGUCGGAAGUGAAAUACCCGGGCUCAACCUGGGAACUGCUUUGGAAACUGUAUGGCUGGAGUGCUGGAGAGGUAAGCGGAAUUCCUAGUGUAGCGGUGAAAUGCGUAGAUAUUAGGAGGAACACCAGUGGCGAAGGCGGCUUACUGGACAGUAACUGACGUUGAGGCUCGAAAGCGUGGGGAGCAAACAGGAUUAGAUACCCCCGUAC
rnacentral:rRNA from 1 species